CCCCCAUCGUCUAGUGGUCAGGACAUCUCUCUUUCAGAGGCAGCGGGGAUUCGACUCCCCUGGGGGUAG
rnacentral:tRNA from 1 species